CUGUCACCACUAUUAAUGCCAGAAAAGCUGAUCUGAAAUGUGAAAAUGUUGUCAAUACUACUGAAUCUGAAGCUUAUUCAAAAGAUGCACUGAGGCUGCAGCUCACAAACACCUCUGUCUACUGGACCUACCUCCUCUUACUCCUCAAGAGUGUGGUCUACUUGGCCUUCAUCACCUUC